UAUAUUUUAGUUUAUAGGAACACAAAAGUUUGAUCUUUGGGGAAUUGGUGUAAUUCCAUUAAAUAUAA
rnacentral:tRNA from 2 species